GAUUAAAAAUAUUUAAAAAAUACUCCAACUAAAUAAAAAAGACAUACUUCAAGUCAAAUAUGCAAUGAUUUUAGAAUAAUAAUUGGAAAAAUAGAACACUGAUUGUUGCUCAUUGCGUCAUUUUAUUCAUUAUUUUCAAGCAAUUGCAUUCUUUUGGUUACAAACCACUUUCCUAAUUAAUGCCUGCAUUCUCACCCAUGAAUUUAUGAAUGAACUAACCAUUCACAAUAAAAGUACCAU
rnacentral:lncRNA from 1 species